AACGAACGCUGGCGGCAUGCCUAACACAUGCAAGUCGAACGAGACCUUCGGGUCUAGUGGCGCACGGGUGCGUAACGCGUGGGAACCUGCCCUUAGGUUCGGAAUAACUCCCCGAAAGGGGUGCUAAUACCGGAUAAUGUCUUCGGACCAAAGAUUUAUCGCCUUUGGAUGGGCCCGCGUUGGAUUAGCUAGUUGGUAGGGUAAAAGCCUACCAAGGCGACGAUCCAUAGCUGGUCUGAGAGGAUGAUCAGCCACACUGGGACUGGGACACGGCCCAGACUCCUACGGGAGGCAGCAGUGGGGAAUAUUGGACCAUGGGCGAAAGCCUGAUCCAGCAAGGCCGCGUGAGUGAUGAAGGCCUUAGGGUUGUAAAGCUCUUUUACCCGGGAUGAUAAUGACAGUACCGGGAGAAUAAGCUCCGGCUAACUCCGUG
rnacentral:rRNA from 1 species